rnacentral:rRNA from 1 species
UACAGAGGCCACGAGCGUUAGGCGGAAUCACUGGGCUUAAAGCGUGUGUAGGUGGAUGGCUAAGUACCUUGUGAAAUCCCACGGCUCAACCGUGGAACUGCUCGGUAUACUGGUCGUCUUUGAGGCACUCAGGGGCGAGCGGAACAGAGUGGUGGAGCGGUGAAAUGCGUAGAUAUCAUCUGGAACGCCAAUGGUGAAGACAGCUACGCUGGGGGUGUACUGACACUGAGACAGCGAAAGC